GCCUUGCUGGCCCGAUGGAUAAGGCGCCACCCUCGUAAGGUGGAGAUUCCGAGUUCGAUCGUCGGGUAGGGUA
rnacentral:tRNA from 1 species